rnacentral:rRNA from 1 species
AUUGAACGCUGGCGGCAGGCCUAACACAUGCAAGUCGAACGGUAACAGGAAGAAGCUUGCUUCUUUGCUGACGAGUGGCGGACGGGUGAGUAAUGUCUGGGAAACUGCCUGAUGGAGGGGGAUAACUACUGGAAACGGUAGCUAAUACCGCAUAACGUCGCAAGACCAAAAAGGGGGACCUUCGGGCCUCUUGCCAUCGGACGUGCCCAGAUGGGAUUAGCUAGUAGGUGGGGUAACGGCUCACCUAGGCGACGAUCCCUAGCUGGUCUGAGAGGAUGACCAGCCACACUGGGACUGAGACACGGUCCAGACUCCUACGGUAGGCAGCAGUGGGGAAUAUUGCACAAUGGGCGCAAGCCUGAUGCAGCCAUGCCGCGUGUAUGAAGAAGGCCUUCGGGUUGUAAAGUACUUUCAGCGGGGAGGAAGGGAGUAAAGUUAAUACCUUUGCUCAUUGACGUUACCCGCAGAAGAAGCACCGGCUAACUCCGUG